rnacentral:rRNA from 1 species
UGGGGAAUUUUGGACAAUGGGGGAAACCCUGAUCCAGCCAUCCCGCGUGUGCGAUGAAGGCCUUCGGGUUGUAAAGCACUUUUGGCAGGACAGAAACGUCAUGGGUUAAUACCCCGUGAAACUGACGGUACCUGCAGAAUAAGCACCGGCUAACUACGUGCCAGCAGCCGCGGUAAUACGUAGGGUGCAAGCGUUAAUCGUAAUUACUGGGCGUAAAGCGUGCGCAGUCGGUUCGGAAAGAAAGAUGUUAAAUCCCAGAGCUCAACUUUGGAACUGCAUUUUUAACUACCGGGAUAGAGUGUGUCAGAGGGAGGUGGAAUUCCGCGUGUAGCAGUGAAAUGCGUAGAUAUGAGGAGGAACACCGAUGGCGAAGGCAGCCUCCUGGGAUAACACUGAAGCUCAUGCACGAAAGCGUGGGGAGCAAACAGG